GACGAACGCUGGCGGCGUGCUUAACACAUGCAAGUCGAACGGAAAGGCCCUGCUUUUGUGGGGUGCUCGAGUGGCGAACGGGUGAGUAACACGUGAGUAACCUGCCCUUGACUUUGGGAUAACUUCAGGAAACUGGGGCUAAUACCGGAUAGGAGCUCCUGCUGCAUGGUGGGGGUUGGAAAGUUUCGGCGGUUGGGGAUGGACGCGCGGCUUAUCAGCUUGUUGGUGGGGUAGUGGCUUACCCAGGCUUUGACGGGUAGCCGGCCUGAGAGGGUGACCGGCGACAUUGGGACUGAGAUACGGCCCAGACUCCUACGGGAGGCAGCAGGGGGGAAUAUUACACAAUGGGCGGAAGCCUGAUGCAGCAACGCCGCGUGCGGGAUGACGGCCUUCGGGUUGUAAACCGCUUUCGCCUGUGACGAAGCGUGAGUGACGGUAAUGGGUAAAGAAGCACCGGCUAACUACGUG
rnacentral:rRNA from 1 species